AGAGUUUGAUCCUGGCUCAGGAUGAACGCUAGCUACAGGCUUAACACAUGCAAGUCGAGGGGCAGCAUGAACUUAGCUUGCUAAGUUUGAUGGCGACCGGCGCACGGGUGAGUAACACGUAUCCAACCUGCCGAUGACUCGGGGAUAGCCUUUCGAAAGAAAGAUUAAUACCCGAUGGCAUAGUUCUUCCGCAUGGUGGAACUAUUAAAGAAUUUCGGUCAUCGAUGGGGAUGCGUUCCAUUAGGUUGUUGGCGGGGUAACGGCCCACCAAGCCUUCGAUGGAUAGGGGUUCUGAGAGGAAGGUCCCCCACAUUGGAACUGAGACACGGUCCAAACUCCUACGGGAGGCAGCAGUGAGGAAUAUUGGUCAAUGGACGAGAGUCUGAACCAGCCAAGUAGCGUGAAGGAUGACUGCCCUAUGGGUUGUAAACUUCUUUUAUAUGGGAAUAAAGUGAGGCACGUGUGCCUUUUUGUAUGUACCGUAUGAAUAAGGAUCGGCUAACUCCGUGCCAGCAGCCGCGGUAAUACGGAGGAUCCGAGCGUUAUCCGGAUUUAUUGGGUUUAAAGGGAGCGUAGGCGGACGCUUAAGUCAGUUGUGAAAGUUUGCGGCUCAACCGUAAAAUUGCAGUUGAUACUGGGUGUCUUGAGUACAGUAGAGGCAGGCGGAAUUCGUGGUGUAGCGGUGAAAUGCUUAGAUAUCACGAAGAACUCCGAUUGCGAAGGCAGCUUGCUGGACUGUAACUGACGCUGAUGCUCGAAAGUGUGGGUAUCAAACAGGAUUAGAUACCCUGGUAGUCCACACAGUAAACGAUGAAU
rnacentral:rRNA from 1 species